rnacentral:lncRNA from 1 species
CCUUCCCAGAGAAGAAGCGCUCUUUGGAGGGCAGCUAGUGGCUUGCUGGGACCCAGCUCUGGUAAUUAUAAAUCCUGAACCAAGACAAAGUGCUAGGAGAUUUUUCUGAUGGUUGUUACAGUGCAGGUCACUCCAAAUCCAGGAGCCUCGUCCAGAAGCACACAUAGGCUCUGUUGUCUUCCCCAGCAAAAGCUGCAAACCCAUGAGACAAACCCUGGGCUGUCCCAGAGCCUCUCUCCUCCUCCCAGGGGCCUGUGUCAAAGCUCCUCCUUUUGGUUCCCAGCCAACAGCGUUCUGCCAGCUGGCUCCCUGCGCCGUGCCCUUGGCUUGUGGCACUGCUGCCCUGCUGGCACUGGGCUGGGAGCCACCACGCCAGCACAGGCACUGGGGCCGUGGGAGCAGCAAGGACUUGGCAGGGAAACAAGCAGCAAAGGAGUGACCGUCCUCCUCAGCAGCUCACUGGGGUGCUACGUGGGGUGCAGAAAAACAUGCUUGGCAGCAUCUCCUGGCUUGGAGAGAGUAAACGUGUCUGAAAGUGUCCAAAUCUGUCUGCAUAGCAGGGGGAGAAUGGAAGUGAAGUUUUCUCCUUCAACAGAAGCCCGGGGGAGAGCAUGGGGGCUGCAGCUGAAGGAAGGGACAUUGCUGUGAAUGUUUGCACACAAUGCUGUGGAUAUCUGCUUCACAAUGCUCUGGAUAUCAUGGAG